AGGGCUUGUCUACACUGGCAAGUUACAGCACUACAACUUUCUCGCUUGGGGUGUGACAAAACACACCCCUGAGCACUGCAAGUUCCAGCGCUGUAACGUGCCAGUAUAGACAGUGUGGGUUAUGAAAAAUCACCCCCCUGAGCGCAGCAAGUCACAGC